UACGGAGGGGGCUAGCGUUGUUCGGAAUUACUGGGCGUAAAGCGUACGUAGGCGGCGAUUCAAGUCAGAGGUGAAAGCCCACGGCUCAACCGUGGAACUGCCUUUGAAACUAGGUCGCUUGAACACGGGAGAGGUGAGUGGAAUUCCGAGUGUAGAGGUGAAAUUCGUAGAUAUUCGGAAGAACACCAGUGGCGAAGGCGGCUCACUGGACCGUUGUUGACGCUGAGGUACGAAAGCGUGGGGAGCAAACAGG
rnacentral:rRNA from 1 species